GUGAACCGUGGAGUACCGCCACCUGUAGGAUACCUCACACCAAGUCAUUCCUCUUUCCUGAAGCACACUUCCUCCCACAACUGUGAGCAGGCGUGUUCUCCAGCUGUAAUUGAACUGACCAAAGACAGAUUAACAGGAGAAAAGCAGACAGCAGUUUAUUAGCAGAUCUUUUGCUAGGGCUUCCUAUUAGCUGAAGCCAGAGAGAAGAGAGAAGGCAUGGAAGCCCAUUGACUACACGAUACAAGUCAGCACACCAGAGGAGAGAGCGGGAAAAGAAGGAGAGAGUCAAAAGCAUAUAGAAAAACUGGAAGAUAGGAAACAAUAGACUGAAAACAGAGAAGUAUACAUCUCCAGAGCUAUCCUGCAGCUAAGGCCACUUGCAAUCAAGGCCCUUCUUAAAAUGACAGCCAGCAGGUGAGAACAAGGAGCAGAGGAAGAAGCGGAGGGUGUCCUCAGGCCAGAGGACGCAGAGGGCCCGCCUUCCCGCGACGGUUCCGAACUCCAGCUCCCUACCGACACCCACAGAGCCCAGCGGGUGCCGGAUUCUGCCCACAAACCAUUUGACGUUAAACUCCUCCAACACAGAGUGGGUUUUCAAGAAAUGAUGCACUGCCAUCUAGGACCUGCACUCUGUUAUAGUGGAAAAAAGGCUGGGGUUGGGGUGGGGGCGGAUACGACUUUUGUGGUUCUCCCUCUCAAGGACCUCCUUUGAAAUAUGAGAAAAGCAUUUUGUGGAAGUGAAAUAAGACUGUUUAGAACAAUGUGAGAAUUCAAAUAGCUUUGUAAGAAAGAAGAGCGCUAGUUUGUCACAUAGAGAGCACAUGGCACGGAUCACUGACAAUUUCAGAAACAAACGGGAACUGCGUGGGAGGCAGGCAGACGGGGGUCGGCUCCGCUCCUUGUAAAGCGGGGUUGAGUGGAGCGGGGCUGUCGCUAGCUCGAGGGCAAGCCGGGGGAGAAGUUUGUUGGAGAAACAGGACAAUGAUUUGAUAUCAUAAAUGCAGUAAUCGGGAUAUUUUCAGCUACUUCUCGUUUCUUGAAAAGUGCUGCUGCUUGGCUCGGCUCGUAAACCCCUGAAAUCCAGAGGGUGAGUGUUUCGCUGUGUGGAGGUUUUGAAGUCAUGCUGGGUGAUGAAAGACAGAAUGAUGAAGGAUAAAUGUGUCCAUUCAUCCAGUCAAUGUGUUAAAAUGGCAUGCCACGUAAAUUAUCGAGGGAUUGCUUACAAUAAUCAUAAAGAAAUCCUUUUUGAAGCCUCCUGUGGGCCAGGCACUAUAUUAAGAUCAUAACCAAAAUAAUGGUUAAUUUUUGUAAAAGCCUUUAUCAAAUUAAAUAUUUGGUCACAAAUAUAUUAAAAUCUAGGUAGAGGCAUAGAUUAGAAUUACAGGAAAAAAAUUAAUAUGACCAUUAUCUCGGACUUUUGAGGAAAAGAAAAUAGAGGCAGG
ensembl:lncRNA